rfam:Ipomoea nil DNA, scaffold: scaffold3170, cultivar: Tokyo-kokei standard.
GCUCUUGUAGCUCAGUUGGUUAGAGCACCCGUUUAGUAAGCGGGAGAUCUUGAGUUCAUCUCUCAACAAGAGCA